CUCCGGAAUAUUUAAUGCUCUCGUGUUUCUAGGCAGCCUAUCGCUAGCGCAGUUUUUUCUAUUGGUCAUCAGCAAAAAUUCACCGUCCUUUCGCGACUUUGUUCUCCUACAUUCGCCAUCGUGGCAUGAAAUACAAGUGGACGUUUCAGCGCCGCCAAGACUCGUUGAAACUUUAAAAAGAAGUAGGACAUCUAUCGUAACUGUUCUGUCAACAACAAGCAAUUACCUAUGGUGUGCAAAUCUCUUUAAAUUUCACUAACACGAUGCACCGCAGAAUACUUAUUAUUUCCUGAAAAGGUCUUUGCAGAGGAUAAAAACUUAUCUUUCAUGAUCCAUCUGACACACGAUCGAUCACGGAUAAAAUGGAAACAAAGCAUUUAACCCCCCGAACUUAACCUCGUAAAACGUAAUCGUUAGUUUUCGCAAGCGAAUAAAGUAAGGUUAACAGCUAGGUUAGUAUUUGUAAUCGAUACAAUUGAUUUCAUUUUCUUUUUUUCUCAGCCAGACGAAGGAGAAAUUUUUCAAGAAAGUAGAUAAAAUCGUGCUAAAUGAUGAAUCACGCGAUCGGUGUCUCACGAGCGAGCUCGUCGAACUGGAUAACAGUGUUAUUCAGCCAAUAAGAAAUAUUAAGUGGCUCGGAAAAUUGAACGAUGCCUUGCAAUUAGAAUGUUCAUCAAGAUUGACACCAACGUGUCCGAGAGCCUCUGCUACACGACGAACUCGAGUUUUAUUUAAAACCAAGGACUUUGGGAUUUCGUGCGGAGUCAAGCAUCGGCUGAACAUCGUGCAGCUUAACAAUCGGUGCACGAUUAGUUUAAACACCAAGGAAAUAGAGAAUUAUUUAUUUAAACUUUCUCUGUACUCCAGUAUUUUAUAAGCCCCGGAAGUCCUUCACACCGGCUAAUCGAGGGGAAUCUUAAUAGAGUCGGUGGACCUUGAAAUUUCGAUCCCACAGAACGGGUUAUGGAAAGCUUGGAAUUUGAGUGGACGAAGGGAGAAUCAGUGGAGGAUUUUAAGGGAUUUUACGCAAGAAGAAGUAAUAAUAGAUGGAUUGCGUAACGAUUGCGUAGAACGCGCGCGACUUCGCGUUGUGCUUUAAAAUCAUUCGAUAAUCGAAACGACAAAUACACAGCUUCUCGUCACAGAAGUGGUCAAGACGUCGUUGCGGAGAUUCAUGAGGAAAUUUCGUAAGAACGUGUCCACAGAGACUAGGCUAUCGGCGUUUUCCAUGCAGAUAACCAGCAGGGCGUCUUUUCUCGUACUCGCUCAAGGACCAUUCGAUACGCGUGCUGCCGUGAUAACGAAACGAGUAGGGAAUAAUUACGUUUUAUACAACUUGUUCCCUGUUCGAACUUUUAGCCAGGAGCGUUUCGAUAGUAUUGAUCACAUUUACCGUCUGUGUCUGCAUGACGCGCCGUGUACGUCGAACUUUGACUAUCGCACCUGUGUAAAUUACGUGCAUUACUGCAGCUUUUGAUUUUGCUGGUUAAAAGUGGCCUUAAAGCUGUCGUAAGCGGAGACAAAUUGGUUAGACAUAAAAUUGUGAAGCGUUAUAUUAAAGCGUUUACUGAAAAUGCCUGUAGAAGACUAGCAACGUUUUUCGUAUAAAAUUAUCGAUUGUUAGAUAACCCUCUUACUUUCUCUUCGCCGCAAGACAAAUGAAUUUGGAAAACAGAAGUUCUGCUUAGCAUCAAACAAGUUUACGUACGCGAUAAAAAUAUGGAUGGAUCUUUUCAAUGUCAUGAAAUAGAAGAGAAGAUAAUCUUAAAUAUUCAUGUUGCAAUAAAAAACGAAUGUUAUUAUGUUCCGGGAGAUCCGCGGAAUCUUAUCAGUCAAUCUUUAAGACAUUUUGAGAAAGAAAAUACGCGUUAAAUACUGUUGUUCGAGAAAGAGCUGUUUAUCGAAGGUAACGAGUUACGAAAUGCCACUGAAAGCGAGAACCAUUUCGAUUUAAACUUGCUAAUAAUUAAAGCUGAUAAUUAAGGCUGACGAGCAUAAGAAAUAGACGCAGAAGAAAUCUCGCCUGUGCAGCAUUUGAAUAUACGUAACGUUAGCAAAUAGUCGUAGAAUUUUCUAUCGAGAGCUCAAUUAAACAGCAAAUACGUAGUUGGUCGACGCAUAAAAAUUUCAAGCCAUAAUAUACCACAAUAAUAAAGAGCUAAAUAAAAUUGUAAAGUGUUGAAAUAUGAAACACUAAAAUGAAAUGUUUUGGGACCGAUAGGUAAGUCCUGUAGGACUUGGAACAUUGUCGUUUUACGAUGUUUGUGACGAUAUGUAUUAGGCCCCGCUAUAACUUCGCUUAUCUUGUGAUAAUAGUUACUGUUGUCGCCGAGGAGAAAAAGAGGAAUAUAUCGACGUGGAAGAUCAUAAAAGCGGAAUUUAUUCGCGACUGUAAACCGAUCUUAACAAAAUAUAUUUUAUUGUAUUUUUUUGCCUUAUCAAGCGAGGAUCUUUCAUGUUAUGAUAAUUGAUUGCGAGGUAUUGUGAGACCGUCAGCCUCUCGUUCGAACGUGUUAAUAAGUACAAGUUAAUUUAUGAACCACUCGAAAUAAUUAGUAGACAUUAUCAUUCGGUGUACCGUUUAAAUAUUUGAGGAACCUCGUAUGCCGUUUAAGUUAUCGAACGUAACUCUCUUAUCUCUUCGAUGUUUGUCUUCGUGAAUUAUCUAAAGGUGGAAUUCUCUAAUUAUUUUAGCGAUGCAUCUGCUCGAACAGGUAAAUGGAAAAUACUACUGCGUUUCAAAGAAUGAGAAUUAAUUCGAAUAACCGGAGGAUCAUCCACCUACAAAAAGUCACUCAUUUCUUUUUUCACACAAAAACCGGGCGAAAAAGAUCGUAAUAAAACUGAGACUUUGGUCUCCAAAAUAAAUUCACUGUUUAAAGUAAAUCGGUCGGGUGCUUUUUAGAUGUUUUGGUCACACGGUAUUAAAAAUGUGGUUUUGCAAAAAAACCUGUUUAAUGUUUCUGGGGAAACACGAAAUUUCGUCAAUAUUUAUAUUAUGUCGUAUUUUAAGAAAAUGAUUUCUAGAAAGCCGUUCCUUUAAGCGAUGAUUAAUUGCGAAGACUCGAAGAAAAAUUUAUCAAUUAAUUUGUGUAAUCACUUGAUGUAUUCUCGGAGCAAUAAUGACGCUUGUCGGAAACGCGUUUACGUAUUACGUACGUGCUGCGAUAACGACUCGUAACUGUACUUUGUGGAAGAUUAUAUGUCCACGUUCAACGAAGAUCAGCGCUUUCCCUUUGUACGCAAAUCCGGUUAUGGUGUUUUUUUUAACACUGGUUAUAUAGUCAACUAGGAAGAGUUCGACCCGCGUACGGGAAAAGCCUUCCAUCCAGGGAAGAAGUUUCUAAGUGAAAUAUCACUUUUCUAUCUCGUAUAUCCAAGCGUACUGACACGAUUUCAUAACACUGUAUCUUGAACUGGCACUUACAUAAAUUUAAAGCUCGAACUUUCAGAAAACUCGAAGAUCAGCUACAACAAUGACUGAUUUCGAAACUAUUAUAGCACUUCAGCUACAAAGUUUAAAGUUUAAUGGCUGUAUAAACAAACUUUGAAAUUAUAAUUUUAGAGUGUGCGGAUAGUUGCUAAUGGACACUAAGUUGCGAAUGGAUUAUUUUACAAUGAAAAUAUUUUUCGUCGAAGCUUAAGCUUCACAUUGUGAAAUAAGUAUUUCAUAUGAUUGAAAUUUUGUCAGACUUUCUAUGUUUCGAAAUCAGUAAUCUAAUGGUGUGAAGUUUGUCAGGAUUUCAAAAGAAGAAGAUAAUUUUUACAAAUUCUGUCAUUUAAUUUCUUCACAUAGUUAUUUACAUAGGAAAUCGCUCCUUAAAAUUAUUGUACAGCUCGUAAAAGAGGAAAAUCAACAUUUGUUUCGUUACAAUUUCUUCCUUCUAAGAUAACAGGAACAGAUACUGGCGAUCGUGAAGGCUCGCGUUUACAAUGUUAACACGGUCACCUUGACACUGAAUCGAAAACCGAAAAUUUCGAGUUUGAUAGCCUGCACGAACAAGCGAUUCCCAGAUAACGAAAACAGCUGUUCGAUGAAAAAGAGCACCGUGUUUAAGCAGUGAUAUACAUAGUACGCAUCUUUAUCAUAAAUCCCAAAAGAACGAACACGCAGUCGCUCAACAAAUAUUUACCUUUCGUUCCCCAUUGAAUCAUAACAUCUCAAAAGUUCCAAAUUUCUUUUCCUAAAAAUUUAUUGCUAAUUAGAUAACAGCUUCGAUAACAAGUACUUCUGGUACACACUUGAUUUUUGCUUCGAAAGAAACUUUAUUGCUAGAGCAAUCCUCGACAGAUUCUCAAGGUAUAAGCUCUCAUUUUGCUUCAUUAAUAGUCGCGAAUUUUCGAGGAGAAGAGAAAGGAUGAAAUUGCGGAAGAAAGCCGAGAUCUCCCCGGAACGAAAUGAUGUAACGAUUGACCUUUGCGUUCGAUGGGACUAUGAGAUGUAACCAUAUCGCGAGGAAUACGAGACGGGUUCAAACUUUCUUCGAGGCUUUCGUGAAAGCUCGUGGGUGGUGCUAAAACUGGUGUGUCUCGCGACGUUCUCUUUUGAAUGCUUGUACCUUUUCACAAAUCGAGACUUUCUAUAAUUUCAAGAACCCUUUGCACUCUGGAUUAUUAAAAUUUUGACUCGAUACUUAGCGAAGUAUUUCCAGGACGGAAUAAAAGUUUCACGAAAUUCUUUGCCAAUAAUUGUCGAGAACCGGCUAACGCGGAAAUGGUACGAAGGCUGUGAUUAUGCUCGCGAGCGGCAAUUAUGUCCUCCGAUUAGCGGACUUGAACGUUAUAAUUACGAUUAAAUUUUCCGUUUAUCACGAUACCGAUUUUUCGAAGAUUAAUAAACUACAGCGAAUACGAGGCAUCUAACCUACGAUUACCCUAAGGCAGUAUGAGAUAUUGCUUUUCUUUUCCAUCACCAAACCUAAUAACCCACGGCAAUAUAGCGAGAUCUCGCCGAUUCUCAUUCAAUAAUUUCCGUGCGACCUCUGACCACGUGUAACCUUAAACCGGGUUAUAUUCCUAUCAUGAUUUACUAGCACCAGUUAUACUGGUCAAUUAAACUGGUCGGAUGAUAUUAGUCUACUUUCUUAGGCUAAAGCUCGGUUUAAAGAGGUAACCAGUUAUACUGGUCAAUUAGUUCGUCUGGUUAGUCUACUUUCGCAGGUUCUGCAAUUUAGAACAAGUACUUUCCCGUUCGUACUGGGUUUUAGGACACGGGUUACAGGGAAAUUGACUCAUUAUUAUAUUAAUGAAGAGUGUUAGGUGGUAAACCUUUAAAAUAUUGGACUCUUAGAGAGACAAGAAGCAUUCAGAAUUGACACUAAACCUACCGACGUAUGUGUACUUAAUUUGAAGUUAAAAAAUAAAUAAACAAGCAAACAUAAAU